UGACUUGCUGGGGAUGCAACACUCCAGACUCUGUUUGGGGAACCAACACUCACAGAUACCUCCGCUGGGAAACAGCAACCUUCAGGCCUGGCUGCUGGGGAAGCAUCGAUCUGGAACCUGCUGGGGAUAACCAUCCUGACCCUACUAGGGAAUCCACAGACCUUGAAUCUGCUGGGGAAUUAGUCCUUCCGACUCUGCUUGGAGAGAUGAGGAAAAU
rnacentral:lncRNA from 1 species